rnacentral:antisense_RNA from 1 species
UUGGGUGUAGAGUAUCUUCCUCCAGUCAGAGCCACCAACUCAAGGCUGGAAAACACAAAAAAAGCCAAAUUACCAGUCGGGUUUUUUUGU